rnacentral:rRNA from 1 species
GGUAUCAGAAGUGCGAAUGCUGACAUAAGUAACGAUAAAGCGGGUGAAAAGCCCGCUCGCCGGAAGACCAAGGGUUCCUGUCCAACGUUAAUCGGGGCAGGGUGAGUCGACCCCUAAGGCGAGGCCGAAAGGCGUAGUCGAUGGGAAACGGGUUAAUAUUCCCGUACUUGGUGUUACUGCGAAGGGGGGACGGAGAAGGCUAUGUUGGCCGGGCGACGGUUGUCCCGGUUUAAGCGUGUAGGUGUGUGUUCCAGGUAAAUCCGGUUCACUUUAACACUGAGGCGUGACGACGAGGCACUACGGUGCUGAAGCAACAAAUGCCCUGCUUCCAGGAAAAGCCUCUAAGCAUCAGGUAACAUCAAAUCGUACCCCAAACCGACACAGGUGGUCAGGUAGAGAAUACCAAGGCGCUUGAGAGAACUCGGGUGAAGGAACUAGGCAAAAUGGUGCCGUAACUUCGGGAGAAGGCACGCUGACACGUAGGUGAAGUGAUUUACUCAUGGAGCUGAAGUCAGUCGAAGAUACCAGCUGGCUGCAACUGUUUAUUAAAAACACAGCACUGUGCAAACACGAAAGUGGACGUAUACGGUGUGACGCCUGCCCGGUGCCGGAAGGUUAAUUGAUGGGGUCAGCGCAAGCGAAGCUCCUGAUCGAAGCCCCGGUAAACGGCGGCCGUAACUAUAACGGUCCUAAGGUAGCGAAAUUCCUUGUCGGGUAAGUUCCGACCUGCACGAAUGGCGUAAUGAUGGCCAGGCUGUCUCCACCCGAGACUCAGUGAAAUUGAACUCGCUGUGAAGAUGCAGUGUACCCGCGGCAAGACGGAAAGACCCCGUGAACCUUUACUAUAGCUUGACACUGAACAUUGAGCCUUGAUGUGUAGGAUAGGUGGGAGGCUUUGAAGCGUGGACGCCAGUCUGCGUGGAGCCG